UAGGGAAUCUUCCGCAAUGGGCGAAAGCCUGACGGAGCAACGCCGCGUGAGUGAUGAAGGCCUUCGGGUUGUAAAACUCUGUCUUCUGUGAAGAAACAAGCACUGUGAGUGGAAAGCUCAGGCCCUGAUCGGUAACAGAGGAGCAAGCCCCGGCUAACUACGUGC
rnacentral:rRNA from 1 species